rfam:Syntrophaceticus schinkii strain Sp3 genome assembly, contig: SSCH_Contig_142
GGAAUCCCACCGGGCAAGGUUUAGCCAACCACCCGUAGCCAGCCUUGGAGCAUAGCUGGUAACAGCUAUGUUUAAGCGUAGGCAGGCGAGACAGCGGGCCGAAAGCCGCAAGGUUGAAGGGAUUGAGCUUCGAAAUGGUGCGAGAUGGGAAGGCCGAUUCUUUCC